CACGGAGUUAGCCGGUGCUUCUUCUGCGGGUAACGUCAAUCGACACGGUUAUUAACCGCAUCGCCUUCCUCCCCGCUGAAAGUACUUUACAACCCGAAGGCCUUCUUCAUACACGCGGCAUGGCUGCAUCAGGCUUGCGCCCAUUGUGCAAUAUUCCCCA
rnacentral:rRNA from 1 species